AGAGUUUGAUCAUGGCUCAGAACGAACGCUGGCGGCGUGGAUAAGACAUGCAAGUCGGACGAGAUUUUUCGUUGUAGCAAUACGAUGGAAAGUCUAGUGGCGAACGGGUGCUUAACACGUGGGCAAUCUGUCUUAAAGUGGGGGAUAGCUCGGCGAAAGCCGAAUUAAUACCGCAUGUGAUUAGAGUGGACAUCCAUUCAAAAUUAAAGUCGGGGCAACCUGACGCUUUUUGAGGAGCCCGCGGCCUAUCAGCUUGUUGGUGAGGUAACGGCUCACCAAGGCUUUGACGGGUAGCUGGUCUGAGAGGACGACCAGCCACACUGGGACUGAGACACGGCCCAGACACCUACGGGUGGCAGCAGUCGAGAAUUUUUCUCAAUGGGGGAAACCCUGAAGGAGCGACGCCGCGUGGAGGAUGAAGGUCUUCGGAUUGUAAACUCCUGUCAUUGGGGAACAAGUCGCUUACGUUAACUGCGUGAGCGUUGAUAGUACCCGAAGAGGAAGAGACGGCUAACUCUGUGCCAGCAGCCGCGGUAAUACAGAGGUCUCAAGCGUUGUUCGGAUUCAUUGGGCGUAAAGGGUGCGUAGGCGGCGCGGUAAGUCGGGUGUGAAAUCUUGGAGCUUAACUCCGAAACUGCAUUCGAUACUGCCGUGCUUGAGGACUGGAGAGGAGACUGGAAUUUACGGUGUAGCGGUGAAAUGCGUAGAUAUCGUAAGGAAGACCAGUGGCGAAGGCGGGUCUCUGGACAGUUCCUGACGCUGAGGCACGAAGGUCAGGGGAGCAAACGGGAUUAGAUACCCCAGUAGUCC
rnacentral:rRNA from 1 species